AUACUUACCUGGCAGGGGAGACACCAUGAUCACAAAGGUGGUUUUCCCAGGGUGAGGCUCAUCCAUUGCACUUCGGGUGUGCUGACCCCUGCGAUUUCCCCAAAUGCGGGAAACUCGACUGCAUAAUUUGUGGUAGUGGGGGACUGCGUUCGCGCUUUCCCCUG
rnacentral:snRNA from 1 species